rnacentral:tRNA from 1 species
GCUCUGGAUAGCUCAGCUGGUUACAGUGUGGUGCUGAUAAUGCCAAGGUUGCAGGUUCGAUUUCCAUAUGGGACA